ACGGGUGAGUAACACGUGGGCAAUCUGCCCUGCACUCUGGGACAAGCCCUGGAAACGGGGUCUAAUACCGGAUAUUACCUUCUGCCGCAUGGCGGGGGGUGGAAAGCUCCGGCGGUGCAGGAUGAGCCCGCGGCCUAUCAGCUUGUUGGUGGGGUGAUGGCCUACCAAGGCGACGACGGGUAGCCGGCCUGAGAGGGCGACCGGCCACACUGGGACUGAGACACGGCCCAGACUCCUACGGGAGGCAGCAGUGGGGAAUAUUGCACAAUGGGCGAAAGCCUGAUGCAGCGACGCCGCGUGAGGGAUGACGGCCUUCGGGUUGUAAACCUCUUUCAGCAGGGAAGAAGCGCAAGUGACGGUACCUGCAGAAGAAGCACCGGCUAACUACGUGCCAGCAGCCGCGGUAAUACGUAGGGUGCGAGCGUUGUCCGGAAUUAUUGGGCGUAAAGAGCUCGUAGGCGGCUUGUCGCGUCGGAUGUGAAAGCCCGGGGCUUAACUCCGGGUCUGCAUUCGAUACGGGCAGGCUAGAGUUCGGUAGGGGAGAUCGGAAUUCCUGGUGUAGCGGUGAA
rnacentral:rRNA from 1 species